UAGCCUUGACAUACCAAAAAGAUUUCAGAGAUGAGAUUGUGCCUGCUUGCAGGAAUUUGGAUACAGGUGCUGCACGGCUGUCGUCAGCUCGUGUCGUGAGAUGUUGGGUUAAGUCCCGCAACGAGCGCAACCCUCGUCCUUAGUUGCUAACAGUUUGGCUGAGCACUCUAAGGAGACUGCCUUCGUAAGGAGGAGGAAGGUGAGGACGACGUCAAGUCAUCAUGGCCCUUAUGGCUAGGGCUACACACGUGCUACAAUGGAUAAGACAAAUAGUCGCAAUACCGCGAGGUGGAGCAAAUCUGUAAACUUAUUCUCAGUUCGGAUAGCAGUCUGCAACUCGACUGCUUGAAGCUGGAAUCGCUAGUAAUCGUAAAUCAGCAAUGUUACGGUGAAUACGUUCCGCGGGUCU
rnacentral:rRNA from 1 species